rnacentral:miRNA from 1 species
AACCCGUAGAUUCGAACUUGGG